GACGAACGCUGGCGGCGUGCUUAACACAUGCAAGUCGAACGGAAAGGCCCUGCUUUUGUGGGGUGCUCGAGUGGCGAACGGGUGAGUAACACGUGAGUAACCUGCCCUUGACUUUGGGAUAACUUCAGGAAACUGGGGCUAAUACCGGAUAGGAUCUCCUGCUGCAUGGUAGGGGUUGGAAAGUUUCGGCGGUUGGGGAUGGACUCGCGGCUUAUCAGCUUGUUGGUGGGGUAGUGGCUUACCAAGGCUUUGACGGGUAGCCGGCCUGAGAGGGUGAACGGCCACAUUGGGACUGAGAUACGGCCCAGACUCCUACGGGAGGCAGCAGUGGGGAAUAUUGCACAAUGGGCGGAAGCCUGAUGCAGCGACGCCGCGUGCGGGAUGACGGCCUUCGGGUUGUAAACCGCUUUCGCCUGUGACGAAGCGUGAGUGACGGUAAUGGGUAAAGAAGCACCGGCUAACUACGUG
rnacentral:rRNA from 1 species